GGUAGUUGCCAGCAAGUAGCGUUGGGCACUCUAGCCAGACUGCCGGUGAUAAAUCGGAGGAAGGUGGGGACGACGUCAAAUCAUCAUGCCCUUUAUGUCCUGGGCUACACACGUACUACAAUGGCCGUUACAACGGGAAGCGAAGGAGCAAUCCGGAGCAAAUCCCUUAAAGGCGGUCCCAGUUCAGAUUGUGGGCUGAAACUCGCCCACAUGAAGGCGGAAUUGCUAGUAAUUGCAGAUCAGCAUGCUGCAGUGAAUACGUUCCCGGGCCUU
rnacentral:rRNA from 1 species